rnacentral:rRNA from 1 species
CCUACGGGAGGCUGCAGUGGGGAAUAUUGGGCAAUGGGCGCAAGCCUGACCCAGCAACGCCGCGUGAAGGAAGAAGGCUUUCGGGUUGUAAACUUCUUUUCUCAGGGACGAAGCAAGUGACGGUACCUGAGGAAUAAGCCACGGCUAACUACGUGCCAGCAGCCGCGGGAAUCCGUAGGUGGCAAGCGUGAUCCGGAUUUCCUGGGUGUAAAGGGCGUGUAGGCGGGAAAGCAAGUCAGAUGUGAAAACCACGGGCUCAACCUGUGGCCUGCAUGUGAAACUGUUUUUCUUGAGUGCUGGAGAGGCAGACGGAAUUCCUAGGGUAGCGGUGAAAUGCGUAGAUAUUAGGAGGAACACCAGUGGCGAAGGCGGUCUGCUGGACAGCAACUGACGCUGAGGCGCGAAAGCGUGGGGAGCAAACAGGAUUAGAUACCCUGGUAGUC